rnacentral:rRNA from 1 species
GAUAAACGCUAGCGACAGGCCUAACACAUGCAAGUCGAGGGGCAUCACGUCUUCGGAUGGUGGCGACCGGCGCACGGGUGAGUAACACGUAUGCAACCUACCUGUAAGAGGGGAAUAACCCGGAGAAAUUCGGACUAACACCGCAUAAUACAUAAUUACCGCAUGGUAUUUAUGUUAAAUAUUUAUAGCUUACAGAUGGGCAUGCGUAUGAUUAGCUAGUUGGUGAGGUAACGGCUCACCAAGGCAACGAUCAUUAGGGGUUCUGAGAGGAAGGUCCCCCACACUGGUACUGAGACACGGACCAGACUCCUACGGGAGGCAGCAGUGAGGAAUAUUGGUCAAUGGGCGAGAGCCUGAACCAGCCAUGUCGCGUGAAGGAAGAAUGUCCUAUGGAUUAGUAAACUUCUUUUAUACAGGAAUAAAGUGUACUACGUGUAGUAUUUUGUAUGUACUGUAUGAAUAAGGAUCGGCUAACUCCGUG